CACACCCACAGCAUAUGGACAUUUCCAGGCUAGAGGGUUGAAUUGGGGCUGCAGCUGCAACCUAUGCCACAGCCACAACAACACCAGAUCCAAGCUACAUCCGAGACCUACACCAUAGCUUGCAACAAUGCCAGACCCUUAACCCACUAAGUGAGACCAAAGAUAGAACCUGAGCAUCCUCACAGAGACUAUGUCGGGCUCUUAACCUAGUGAGCCACAAUGGAAACUCCCUAGUUCUAUGGAAUUAUUAAAGAAAGCUGCUCAAGUCUGAGAAAGGCUUACAAAGUUUUCCCCUCAUACAUGGGAAGAGUGAACAGUGAUAAAAUAACUCAGAAUGAUUCCAAUUGUUAAGAAGAGCUGAAGACCAGGCAUCCCAAAAAUGCCAUUAGAGCUGGAGUCCCAAGUCUGGGUCAAACUCAAACCCAUUCUGUUACCUUAGGGAGGCCACCUCUGAUUUAUUUCAGAUGCAUGCGCUCACUACCUCUGUCCUGGUGUUCUAAGGACAGAAAAUAAGACAUUUCCCACCCUCCUCCUCAUUCACUCUGCUCCAAGCUAUCUGGCCUUCUUGCUCUUCCCGAACACCUUGGACCUCAGGGCCUUUGCAUUUGCUAUUCCCUCUUCCUGUCCUGAUGCUCCUUCCUCCCAGUAUCUGCGUGAAAAGUCACCCCAGUGAUACAUUUCCAAGCUACCCGAUCAAAAUCUCAGCCUCAGUCCUGAGGCCUCAUAUGCUUAGUUUAACUACUUUCUAGUUUAGUUUCUUCUUAGUAUUUUUAUUAUAGAAUAUUGUAUAUGUUUCACAUCUUUAUAUUUUUUUAUCUGUUUCCUACACUAAAAUAUAAGCUUCCAACAAGAGCUGUUGUCUAUUUUGUUUAGCUUUUGUGUAAGAGUGCCUGACCCAUUGUAAGCCUUUAAUUAAAAAUCUGCUCAAAAAUACAUGUGAAUGUGAGUCUAAUUAAUAACAUUAUGCAGAAGAAAAUCACACCUCUCUCCAACUUCAAACACUCUUUUGGCUGUAAAUUAUGCAGAGAAAUAAUGAUGAAAAUUGCAGAUCAGGAAUUUAAGUGUGGUCAGUUUGAAAUUGGGUUAUAGACAAGAAAUGAUUUGGGCAGCAGAAGUAGCCAUGCCAAGGUCCAGCAUUAUGGUCAAGUUCUACAUCUUAGGACACAAAGAAAGUGGUAUCUGAAAUAAGAUGUGUUUAUCCUUCUGUCUUUGAAAGUUCCACAUAAAUCUAUUUGCUUCUACAGAGCAAUCAGUAUUAGAACUUUUUCAUACAAGGACUGGGCUCUGUCUUGAGCUCAACUGCUUAUAGUUUGUCCUCAUAGCCAGGUUUCUAUGUUUCUCCCCAUUUACAGAUUGGUAAACUGAGGUCCCUAUAAAGAAACUAGGUUUAAUAAAUUCCCUAAAGUGAUAAAGCUUUGUAAUGUUUACUUAUUUUCCCCUGAGUGUAUCCUACACCUCUGGUUAACAAGCUCAGAUUUUUUUUUCUCCCCAUAAAUCUUGUUUCUGCCACUUUUUCACUGUCUGGCUUCUGGCCUCAAGUGACUUAUUUCAUCUCUGUGACCCUUUUGUUUGCUCCUCUACAUGGAAGUGAUAGAAACACCUACAGCAUUCAAAUACCCAAAAGACAGUAGGUCUUCGUGUCUCCUAAUCUCUCUGCCAACUUUGAACAUUUCCUCAAGGCCACCUUCACUUCAGGAGACACCUGCAAAUUCCAAAGGGCAUUCCUCAAACCAUGCACCUGCUCUUUGUGCAUGUGUAGGCUAAAGAGUGCUAAAACCACUGAUUUCAAUCAGAAUAGGGAAAAAAAAUAAAAAAAGAAAGGGAGAUUAAAAUAUCUGACUUUGAAAGACAGUGCCAAAAGCAUCAGAAGGACAGUAAUCUUUUAGCAUUACAUGGCUACAAAAAUGGAGAAUUUAUUUCAGGGCAAUUACAAAAAAAAAAAAAGGAUUUUUUUUUUCUCUUUUGAAUUAAUCUGCCUCUCGUUCUCUCUCUCUCAAUGGAAAUUUGAAAUGGGAAAGUUUCCCAAAUAAUUUUAGAUCAAUCAUGAGUUCAUAUGGUUUUGACAUCAUAACUCUUGUCAUGUUACCAUGCCAACAGGCAGUGAGGAGCUAAAAGCUUUCCAAAGAUAUGGAAAUUAUGGGCUUAGAUGUGAUUCAGUUCUCUGUGGGGUGAACACUAACAAUAUCACUGGCUAUAAAUAACAAGGGCUACCAUAGCACCCUCUCACCCACUUUCCCCUGCUUCUUUCAAUGAGCACUGAAAAUAUGUGCUCUAUUUUGGAAAUAAAACCUAAAGAUCCACUUCCCUAAAUGGAUGCUGUGCAUGUAAUAAAAAGUGACAUGACUUUAUUGCUGCUCUUGGAAUAAACUACCAUGCUAAGCUAGACACCCCCAGCUCUGACUUGACAUGGAACGUAACCCUCGCAUAUCCAAUUUUCACUCCUUCACUUGCACCUACAGGUAAGGAUGUGUGAUGUGUGUUUGAGUACCAUUUCCCUACUCCGUAAAAAGCAUGCAAGUUCAAGUGCCUAAAAUAAAGGCAUCCCAGAAAUUCUAAUGGCAUGUGUCUUGGUCGCUCACUGCUGCUCUUAAAAAUACUCACAGAUUGAAUAUGACAACUGGUCUAGAACAUAGUAUGUUUCUACUCACCGCUCUUGCUUGUUUGGCUUUGUUUUUCUUUCUGUUUGAACUCCUAGGGCAUCAGGUACUAUUAUAGGGCAGGAGCGAAAACUCUAUCUUCUCUGUCUUGACUCUAGUGCUGAAUAGAUGGUAGUUAAAUUUCUACUUUUCAGAUUCUCAGAUUAUAAUAAAAAACAAGGGAAAAAGGCUUUGCUGCCUUCAUGUGGUGGACUCAAUUUCAAACCAUGACUGUGAACCAAGCCUGCUAGUAAUCCUGCCCUGUGCAGUUCCCCUCCCUUGAAUCUGGCUAGUCCUGGGACCUGCUUUAACCAAAGGAUGCUUCAGAAAUCAUACUGUGCCACUUUGGAGAUUAUGUCAGAAGCAGUCCUUGCAUCUCCUGCCUUCGUGAUUCAAGAAGCCUGAGCCAGGAGUUCCUGUUGUGGAUCAGUGGUUAAUGAAUCCGACUAGGAACAAUGAGGUUGCUGGUUCGAUUCCUGGCCUCGCUCAGUGGGUUAAGGAUCCAGCAUUGCAGUGAGCUGUGGUGUAGGUUGCAAAUGCAGCUCAGAUCCCAUGUUGCUGUGGCUCUGGCGAAGGCCAGCGGCUAUAGCUCUGAUUCGACCCCUAGCCUGGGAACCUCCACAUGCCGCAGGUGCAGCCAUUAAAAUAAUAAUUAUUAAGUAAUUAAUUAAUAAAAAAUCCUACCGACAUCCCUUUGGUGGGAUUUAGGGAGUAUACAAAAGCUCCAUCUCCCACCUCUGAAAAGGAAAGAAAACAAUAAUAACAAAUUCUUUGGGGGUUGAAAGGAGUAAAUAAGAUCAUACAUAUAACAUAUUUAACACAGCACCUACCUGAGGGUUAGCAUGCAACUAAUACUGGCUAACUACUAUCUUGUUUUUCUAGGCAUUAUGGAGAUAACAAAAGUUCACUUUCCAGGAAAAUGUCAUUUAGUCCAAGAAAUAAGAUAUGUCUAUAUGUAAAACAACUAACCCAAAUAGAAGGGUAUCGUUUUAUAUGUAUAUCUGGAGGAAGGAAGAAGAGGUGAGGCCAAAGAAAGCAUGUUUUCGAGAGGAAGGUGAGGCGAAAGCCAUGUCUAUGCAUUUCUUUUUGAAUUUACCAAAAGCUCAGAACAAAGGCACGGAGAAACAAAAGCCAUGUCUGUCACCCUUAACAGUCAGUCUUCAAGCAACAGAUAAUAAUGGGUUAAGGAACCCAAAAUGGGGCUGCCUAAACUCUCCAGUAUUGUGCAUCUUUUCAAAUAGAAGACAUUGAAUUCUUGGGCCAGUGUUCCCAACCCAAUAUCAGUUCGACUACAGAAACCAUUUGUGUAAAUGUCCUUUGCUAAAUUGACAGCAUCCAGGAAUAAGGCCAAGAAGUUCCACAGAUGCAUUAAUUUUGGGAAGAAAUAACAUUGUUAAAUCGAGGUACCACCUUGAGGACCUCUCUGAGUAGUGAUUUCUGCCACACUUUCAGGUCUCCCUUCCAUGUGUGACUUUCAAUUCUUUUUUACAUGUUUACACCUAGAUUUCACAUUGAGCUUUCAUCAAAGGAUGAAAGGAUGUCAAAUUGCUUUCCUCACAGUAAUUUACUGGAACACUCAAUCCUCUAGUCUAGCCUGCCACCUAUUAUUAUUGUAUCUACUAUCUUACAGAAUAGAAUUCCUAGGAAAGCCCUCCCAGUUGCAAAUGGAAGGUGGCAAUAUACUUAAACACAGAUGCUGUGAAUCCAGGAAUUAGCUUGGAAACAAUUUUCCUUUUCUCUAUAAGAGGCAAAACACACAGACCAGUAGGUGGCAGCACUGGCCACCUUGGUCCAUUCAGGGUGUAGCAGGAGAGAUCAAGAGGCUGUGUUUACACUCAAAAUUAUAUUAGGCAGCCUUGAGUUCCGGGUCCCUUCGGAUUUAUGUUCCACAAGAAAGACAGGCACUUGAAUACAAUAGCCAAAGGUAGAAUUUCUUCCCUGAGGUGUUUUUGAAAAGACAGCGGCCUCAAGCAGCCUCGCAUCAGUGGAGUGAAAAUGCACCCAUAUUCUGGCAAGAUGGUGGCAUGGUCAUGAAGUUCACUGACGGCUGGGGAAGGCUUCCAUCUGGCCUUCCCUCACUGCUUCCUCCUCUUCCCAACAUACCCCCUUCCCAUCUGAAUUCUCUUUCUCCAGGCUGCUCUUCUCAGAAGCUAUUACAUUUGCCAUGUUCCAAGAAAGGACUUAGUUCAUGAGGAUCUAAACACCUGCUAUGCCUAGGAAUAAACAUAUUUGCUAGAGAAACCCAAACCUUUCACAAACUCAGAUAAAGUCAUAAUAUAACACCAGUCGCUUUCCAUCUAGUAAGUUACUGCCUACUCUGAAGCUAGUUCUUAUUCAUGCCAGAUAAAUGGACUCCUUUGUCAAUAAAACCACAAUUUGGCAUGGUGCAUAAUCUUGGAAACCACAAAGCCAGGCAAUAAAUUGCACUGAAUUUUAAAACUUGAAAAGCUGUCCCAUUUUAGUUGAUCGUGCACAGAGAUGAACACUUUUUUUAUUAAUCACUGGCCAAGAAUGAACAGCAAAGCGAGGGGAAGACAGACAGGGUAAGCACACAGAAGAGGUAGGUUCCUG
rnacentral:lncRNA from 1 species